CAUUGAGGCCCAUUUAGACAGCCAUAGGACUCUACACAAACCCUAAAAUUACGCGUGCUCUACUCAUUCCCUCCCCCCACACCACACUACGCCGCCGCCGCCAACCACCUCUCCACAUCCUCCACGCCGGACAGCCUAGGUCGGACACAAGAUGGACAAGCUGUCGGCGCAGAUGCUGGGGAGCAUCUUCCUCUGCCUCCCCGACCCAGCCGACCUCGGCCACACCUCGGUCGCCUGCAAGUCCUUCUGCGACCUCAUCGCUGACAGCUACUUCCGCCGGCAACACCACAAACGCCACACCUCGCCCCUCCUGGGCUUUGUCGGCAAAUUCGGCGACUUCCACCGCGCCAUCUCGCCGCACCCCUCCGCGCCGGCAGCCAAGGCCGUCGACAACGCCUGCGACUUCUCCUUCUCCUUCCCCCCGAGGACGGAGAGCAUCAUCUAUGGCAUCGUGGACAUCCGCGAGGGUCGCGUCCUCCUCGCCACAGUGAAUGAGGUGUUUGGUGAGGAGUACGUGGUGUGCUACCCCUUGCACCGCACGUAUGUGGUUCUCCCCAAACUCACCGACGCUGUGACAUCCAAAAGAAACAUUUUCUUAGCCCCACCGAUGCCGGAAACUGUUGUUGACAAGGAUGGGUAGACAGCCUUCAGAGUGAUUAGGAUGGCGCCGAGAGGAGACCAUUUUGAUACCCAUGUCUUCUCUUCCUGGACUUGUCAGUGGGAAGCCCGUCCAUCUGUAAUCUGGAGGGGUCCUGUUGGCUCCCAUUUGUUUACUCUGCCAGGGAUGGUUAACCACUGCCGUGCACAAUAUGCUCACGGCCGCUUCUACUUCAUAUCUAAUAUCAAUAGAUGGGAAACACUGGUUCUUGACCCCAUGACAAUGGAUUUUUCUACUGUUGAUGGCCCUCCCGUGGACAGAGUUUGUGAUGAAGACAUAUGUAUCGUGGAGGCAGAUGAAGGCAGUCUCGGGAUGUUUCUAACGUACCAAGACUAUGACACAAGCAAUAUCAUUUAUUGGCAAAGUGAAGGUGAUAUUUCCGGACCAUGGCGGGAAGAGAAAAGAAUUGAUGUAGGUGACAUGUGCAGAGUUUUUUCUUCCGAAGGGAGACAUGUAUUUGGAUAUGAUACUAUUGCAUGUUUCUCGUUGGUUGCCAAAGCAUUGGAGCUCGAGAGGCUAUGUUACAUGAUUCUGGAUGAGGCGUACCCAUAUAGCAAUCUUCCACUACCGUACGCAUUACCCACCGUGGCAUCAGGCCCCAAAGAGACGCAGCAGACCAGAACGAUUGUUGAGGAGAUGGAGGACGCUCAGGAGAUGGAGGACGACGAGUACCCAUUCCAGGACCUUGCAGUGGAUUUUCAGUUACUAGAAGAGGAGAACGACAACGACGACGACUUCUUGUCAGAGCCUACAGUGACUUUUGAGUUAACAGUCGAGGAGACAAAGAAGCAGGUGGCCGCCUCCAUUGGACACUCGAAUGUCUGGAACUCGCACCCAAAGAACUACGGCUCCGGAUCCAUGGUUUGGUUAUAAUCCCCUCUCUCUAGCACCUACAUACCGUGCCCUGUCUUAGAUUGGUAGUAAGAGGCGGUUUCUCUAUGUACAUGUAGAUCCGCGGUGCAAGCUGGUCGCUUAUCUUGUGUUUGAGAUUCAAGAUUUACGUGCCUUGUAUUAUUUGAUGAGUUUGUGACGCGUUGCGGCUUGGGUUUUUGUUGUUGCAGCCGUGUCUGUGGCAACUCACAUGGCCUGAUCCGCAAGUACGGGCUGAUGUGCUGCAGGCAGUGUUUCCGCAGCAAUGCAAGGACAUUGGCUUCAUCAAGUACCGUUAAGAUUGGAAACCUCAAAAGGAAGCAUGGAGUAGGAUGUCAUCGUCAAAGUGUGUUGAUUCAUAAGGACUAUCUGUAUUAUAUAUUAUGUAAUGAACUAAAUGUUUGAAUCAGAGUAACAUGUGAAUCAGAUAAUUCUGUUGCUAUUGUGUCUCGUUAUGUUUUUUUGUUUUGUUC
rnacentral:rRNA from 1 species